GCCAGUGUGAUGUAGUGGUUUGAGCUUUGGAUUAGGACUCCAGAGAUUAGGGUUCUAUUCCAUGUUUGGGCA